UACGGAAGGGGCUAGCGUUGUUCGGAAUUACUGGGCGUAAAGCGCGCGUAGGCGGCUCGUCAAGUGAGGCGUGAAAGUCCUGGGCUCAACCUGGGGACGGCGCUUCAGACUGUCGGGCUAGAGUCCGGAAGAGGGUGGUGGAAUUCCGAGUGUAGAGGUGAAAUUCGUAGAUAUUCGGAGGAACACCGGUGGCGAAGGCGGCCACCUGGUCCGGUACUGACGCUCAAGUGCGAAAGCGUGGGGAGCAAACAGG
rnacentral:rRNA from 1 species